GUCCAAAAACGAGAUGUGAUUUAUUUAUUUUGAUGAUUUACCAAAAAUCACCAAAACGAGUUUGCACUGCCCUGUUUGUUCCCUUAUCAUAUAGGCUAUUUAUAUUACAGAUGGACUUUUCGAUUGGACACUUAACCCAUUUUAACCCAGGGCCUUUGUUUCUGGCCUUGCAUAAAAACUAGCAAUGUAGAACUGAAUAAAUGAGUGUAUGUUCACCAUGUAGUAUUACCGUGCCUACUUUGUCUCCGACAGGCUGAGAAUCCGUCUCUGAAAACAGAGUUCAGGGAGGCCCUCAACUCUGGUGGGUUAUAACAACCCUGUUAAAGGCCUGGGCAUCAGGGUUCGACGGAGGGCGAAUCAGGUGCCAUCCCGGGCUUCAUGCUGGGUGUGUUCCAGAUCGCUCUAAAUGAUUGUGAGGAGCUCUACAGGAGCUGGGUUCUGACGCCUUCAAGCAGAACGUCAUCGUUGGCACCAUCAAGAUGGGCUGGAGCCAUUUCUUCUGCGACUCGCAGACCUUGGAGCAAAUCCUCAAAGAGAAAAUGGGCUCUGAUGGUGGAUUCAUCAAGAAACUCCAAAUGCCCAAAGUUAAGCUUUGUCACAUGGCAUGACUCAUUACACUCUCUGGAGUGUGGCGCUGAUGAUCACACACACACACACCCUCUCAUGGAUGGCAAGGUGGACAGUGAGGAAGGAAGGCCCUCACAAUCUCUUAAAGGUCCUAGUAGUCAUGUUUAA
rnacentral:lncRNA from 1 species